CGGGAAAAGCUCAAAUUUGUAAUCUGGCGCUUUCGGCGUCCGAGUUGUAAUCUCGAGAAGUGUUUUCCGCGUCAGACCGCACACAAGUCUCCUGGAACGGAGCGUCAUAGUGGUGAGAACCCAGUACACGGUGCGGAUGCCUGAUGCUUUGUGAUACACUUUCGAAGAGUCGAGUUGUUUGGGAAUGCAGCUCAAAUUGGGUGGUAAAUUCCAUCUAAAGCUAAAUAUUGGCGAGAGACCGAUAGCGAACAAGUACCGUGAGGGAAAGAUGAAAAGCACUUUGGAAAGAGAGUUAACAGUACGUGAAAUUGUUGGAAGGGAAACGCUUGAAGUCAGACUUGCUAUUCGGAGCUUGCUUCGAUUCGCAGGCCCGCAUCAGUUUUUCGGGGCGGAAAAUCGUAGAGAGAAGGUAGCAGUUUCGGCUGUGUUAUAGCUUUCUACUGGAUUCGUCCUGGGGGACUGAGGAACGCAGCGUGCUUUUUGCAUGGGCUUCGGCCUAUCCACGCUUAGGAUGCGGGUGGAAUGGCUUUAAACGAC
rnacentral:rRNA from 1 species